GAUUGUGUGAGGUUCAAUCGACAGGCGCGCGAAUAGUGAAAAAUUCGGGCCUAUUUUCCGUGUUUCGUCGAGAAUUCAGCAGUGGGAAACGCAGCGGAUGUGGCCAAGUUCCUAUUUGGUACCCAGGGUGCCCGUGACUACGAAGAUGGAUGAUGCCGAGCUAGUUGCGCUUGCCGAGGGGUGCACAUCUCGGAGUACGAUUUGCACGACGGCCGGAGUACCGUUUCCGGGGUUGACGCCGUCAAUGAUGCCGCAGGAUAUACUGGGGCAGCCAAAUCCGAACGAGCCGACGAACCAUGAGGUGGACCAUUGCAGAAGAAGCUGAAAUCGGAGACUACAUAUCAGGAUUGUCAUCUCCGUCGAUCAGGAUUGAAAGCUCCUUCGAACUACGCACUCAUGACGUCCAAGCGAAUCGAAAAGGACCUGCUCCGUGGUCGGUUUAAUCGCGUGCUUCAGCUGCCCAGCAGUAUCGGAGUUCCGUAAUUACUUCGGAUCUUGUACUGACCUGGUUUCUGACCCUACUCUUCUAGGUCGUCCAGGUCGUCCUUUUCCAGCUGACGGAUCAGAUCAAGGUCAAGAUCAAGGAACAGUCUGGAGAAUGUGGAAAGUUCCGCCAGGAUGUUCAAUCCGCAUUUUGACAUUUCGGCCGAUUCGAUGAUGGUGAUCGAAACGCACCGCCGGCGUCACCUGGCCUAUCGGAUGCCUAACAGGGUGAGCGGUUCUCAAGCUGUGCGAUUUAUUUAUGAAACUUACAGUAGCUAGCGAUAAGAAUGUAGCUGCCGCCCGAACCAGAUUGUAUCCCGGGCUGGAAACAGGCAGCGGCCGUCGAAAAGCAGCUGGUCUUCAAUGAGAUGUGUUUGGCAAUUACGCUAUCCAGUAGUUCUUCGUGUUUGGCCAACCCGUACAGAAACAAACCAUUCGCCAGCAGGUGUAUAGACUUGGAAUAUUACUCUAUCAGCAAUUUGUCCGCGAGCUAGACGGUCACGCAACCACUCUGCCUUGGUUAAAUACCGAUGAGCUCAUCCAGGAACAUGGCGGAAAUUAUUUAGUUAAUUUAACAUGUUUUGAUGCACGGAAAGCCGGAGAACAAGUCCGUGCUGAUUGCGGUCGCCCGGACAAGGUUGUCGUAGAACAAGUUCACGCGGAUGCAACGGAUGACCGAGCUCCAGGGAACGACAACGCAUCGUCCACACACGGACCUUCCUUUGAAAGCUUUUCAAACGAUUCUAAACGACACUAAGUGCCCGAGCUGGUUGUGCGAAAGAAGAUCGAAAAUCGGGA